rnacentral:rRNA from 1 species
AUUGAACGCUGGCGGCAUGCCUUACACAUGCAAGUCGAACGGCAGCACGGGAGCUUGCUCCUGGUGGCGAGUGGCGAACGGGUGAGUAAUACAUCGGAACGUACCCUGAAGUGGGGGAUAACGUAGCGAAAGUUACGCUAAUACCGCAUAUUCUGUGAGCAGGAAAGAGGGGGAUCGCAAGACCUCUUGCUUUAGGAGCGGCCGAUGUCGGAUUAGCUAGUUGGUGAGGUAAAGGCUCACCAAGGCGACGAUCCGUAGCUGGUCUGAGAGGACGACCAGCCACACUGGAACUGAGACACGGUCCAGACUCCUACGGAGGCAGCAGUGGGAAUUUUGGACAAUGGGCGCAAGCCUGAUCCAGCCAUUCCGCGUGAGUGAAGAAGGCCUUCGG